GUCACAUGUCACUAAUCCCUCACACCUAUUCCUUGGCACCUGGAUUAGCACAUGCCUUUCACAAAGAUCUUUGUCUCAUGUUCAUCUUGUAUGGUGGCUGCAGUUUUUUUCUUUUUUUUCCAUCAGAUUUGGACAUGCACAGUCUGGGAUCUGAGAUUUGCUGCGUCGCUCACACCUCCAUCCUCGCUCCAGACACUUUGAACAUGAACAUGAAGAGCGCUUCAAAGCAUUUCAUCUUCGACGCCUCCAUGUCUGCACCGGACCGGUCUUUCUUUGCAUGUUCCAGGCUUAGAAACAGGUAAUCAGGAUCAGAAACGUGUAAUCAGAAGACGUAUAAAGGAUUUGUCUCCUAAUCUCUUACAUUUGUUUAUUAAUUAAUUAUUCAAUUAAUAAUAAUAAAAAUUCGAUGUUGUACCAA